GCCCUCUCAGAGUCGCACCUGGAGGGUUUCCAGUACUCUAUCAUUCUCGACUAUGGGAGGGAGAGUCCAGCAGAGGCCUGUCCAUUCCAUUCCUAGCUUGGGCCGUGGCUAGCGAGUGGAAGGCGAUCUACUACAAGU